rnacentral:rRNA from 1 species
CUGUGGUGAAAGGGGGCCUCUGUUUACAAGCUCCUGCUUCUGGAUGAGCCCGCGUCCCAUCAGCUAGUUGGUAGGGUAAUGGCCUACCAAGGCUACGACGGGUAGCUGGUCUAAGAGGAUGGCCAGCCACACUGGAACUGAGACACGGUCCAGACUCCUACGGGAGGCAGCAGUGGGGAAUCUUGCGCAAUGGGCGAAAGCCUGACGCAGCGACGCCGCGUGGGUGACGAAGGCCUUCGGGUUGUAAAGCCCUGUGGGGUAGAACGAACUGGCAUCGGGCUAAUAUCCCGGUGUCUUGACGGUACUGCCUUAGCAAGCAUCGGCUAACUCUGUGCCAGCAGCCGCGGUAAGACAGAGGAUGCGAACGUUGCUCGGAUUUACUGGGCGUAAAGCGCGUGUAGGCGGUCUCGUUAGUCGGGUGUGAAAGCCCCGGGCUCAACCCGGGAAGUGCACCCGAUACUGCGAGACUGGGGGUACUGAAGAGGAGAGCGGAAUUCCCGGUGUAGAGGUGAAAUUCGUAGAUAUCGGG